UGUCUUACGAUGGGCAGUGAAGCCUGAGCAGACCAUUAAUAAUCAGCAUCAAGGCCGCGAGUCAGCCUUUUGGAAUGUCAGACUGUCCAGAUGCUGUGCCUUCCUCCGCUGAAACAGGGGGAACGAAUUAUCUGGCCCCUGGGGGGCUUUCAGAUUCCCAACUUCUUCUGGAGCCUGGGGAUCGGUCACACUGGUGCGUGGUGGCAUACUGGGAGGAGAAGACGAGAGUGGGGAGGCUCUACUGUGUCCAGGAGCCCUCUCUGGAUAUCUUCUAUGAUCUACCUCAGGGGAAUGGCUUUUGCCUCGGACAGCUCAAUUCGGACAACAAGAGUCAGCUGGUGCAGAAGGUGCGGAGCAAAAUCGGCUGCGGCAUCCAGCUGACGCGGGAGGUGGAUGGUGUGUGGGUGUACAACCGCAGCAGUUACCCCAUCUUCAUCAAGUCCGCCACACUGGACAACCCGGACUCCAGGACGCUGUUGGUACACAAGGUGUUCCCCGGUUUCUCCAUCAAGGCUUUCGACUACGAGAAGGCGUACAGCCUGCAGCGGCCCAAUGACCACGAG
rnacentral:sRNA from 1 species